ensembl:lncRNA
AUGACAUCUCGGUGACAGGGGGAACUGUGGACGGGACCCCAGGAAGCCAACCCCUGCCCUGCUCAGGCGGGGAGCCACAGGAGUCCCGGAAUCCCUGGUCCUCAUUCCCAUACAGGAGUGAGGGGUGGCGGCAGCCCGGGCAUCUCAGAGGGUCAGCCCAUCCUCGCCUGGCUUUCCCCAGAGGCCCUGGUGCUGCCACCUGAACCCCAGGGAAUGGAGGGGAAUGGGCUGGGGGAGGCGCCGGGGAAGGCCCUAGAAGGAAAAGAUGCUGCCACCCUUCACCCCCUUAGGGGGCCAGACAGGGAGGGUGGUUGUGUUCUUGGUCAAAGCCCUGGUCAGGCCCCUUCUAAGCCCUCAGGCCCCUGGGGUCGGGGCCUGCUCCUGCUGUGCCUGCUGCUCCCCGCCCGCUCUGGGGGCGUCCUCUGGCGCUGGGCACUUGGACGUUAGGAGUGGGGAGGCCAGUGGGAAGGCCACUCGGCCCUGUCCCUGCCCUGCAGUCUUGCUCUGGCGCCAUUGCAGCCACCCUCCCUCCAGCCCCUGUGUCUGCCCUCCCGGUGCCACUGAACACUGCCUCCAGCAGCCCCUGUGCACCCAGAGGAGCCUGGAAAUGGAGAUCUUCUUGAGCCCAGGGCAGCUCUCAGGCUGGGGUGGAGAGAGCAGGUGGAGGAGGGGCUUGCGAGGAGGCUGCACUUGGGCAAACUGGCACCACUCUCCCUGGGGAGGCCACUGUGAAGUCUCCAUCUCUUUGUCUUUUCAGGAACCAGCGUUUGUAGGUGGUGACCCACCCCUUGUCUGGCCUUGUCAGGAGACUCCAAUCCCUGCCCAGGGGCCACCCCUGGCCCCAGAGCUGCCUGGGGAGCAGCUGGGUGAAGGGCCUGGCCCAGGAGGAGAGAAAGGACUUUCCCGGCAGAGGCUCGCCCCCCCCCCAGCCCAGGAUCCCGCUGGAGAACCUCUUCUGGAUGGGCUUGGAUUGGUCCUGGAGGCCCCAGGUGUGGGGUUCCCUGGUGCACCAGGAAGGCCAGGCGUGGCCCCGAGGGGAGCCAGGAAGGACCCAGGUCCCACAGCGGCUCUGCCACUGGUUGCUCUAGGCCCCAGCCUCCAAAUUCCUGGGACUGAAAACCCAAGCAGUCUGGCCAGGCCCGGGGACAGAGUGGCCCAGUGUCACACCUCCUGCCCUCCUCAGCUACGAAGCUGGAGGCCAGGUCCUGAGUGAAGAGCUCUGCCCACCUCAGCCCGGGGACUGAGGCCAGAUGAGGCCACCAUGUGUCCCCUGCAGCUUCCCACAGACAGGGUGUGAUGGCUCCCUUCCUUGUGCCAAGUGUCCUCGUGGCGCUUCCUGUGCCCCAUCCCUUUCCACCCUGGACCACUUCUGGGAGCCUGCCAGCCCGCCCACUCCAUCCGCAGAUGUCUGGGGACAGCGCGUGAGAAGAGAGGACAAGGGGCCUCCUUAGCUGAUGCACAGAUGUGCCCCUUGCAAGGCCCCGCCUCACCCUCGGGGUGACCUGCUCCCCAGCUGCGGCUUUGUUGCUCUGCUGGAGCCCCCUGGGGCCUGUGACUCCUUUUCCCCAUGGGGGGGGGAGCCUCAAGGCCCUGGCCUCAGAGCCCUUCCUU